rnacentral:tRNA from 2 species
AGCGCCAUAGCCAAAUGGUAAGGCAACGGACUCUGACUCCGUGAUUUCCAGGUUCGAACCCUGGUGGCGCUG